rnacentral:rRNA from 1 species
CCACCUAUCAGGAUCAAGACGAGUUUCGGAGGUAACGGCCGGCGUGGAAGACGAACACGAGAACCAGGUGGGGGAAGGAAGGUCGGUACCAACCAUGCCUCUACGAGCGCCGGCGCCGACACUCGGUCCAGCGGGCGUUCUAGCCGCUUUAGUAGCCGCGGCGCGUCCCGCUCCAGUGCGACACGACGUCAAAGUCGCUGCUGGACCUCUCGUAUUUCCUGUGAAACCACAUGGAUCUUCUGGACGACUUUUUACGCCUCUCCUUGAGGAAGCCUUCGCUCUCCCGCUUAGACGCCGUGACCGAGCGGGUCUAGUUCAGGGACCGGAAGCUGUAGCUUCUGUACCAACUGCUGAUGAUGAGAAGGUUCCUCGUCAAACUUCCCUCGUCGUCGAUACGAGUCUUCCCUAGUAACAAGACGAGUGAAAGGUUAGGGCACUAAAGCUUUCAAUCGUACCAAGUAUUCUACUUUAGGUUCUCUCUCAACAACGUCUGUUCCGUUGUGAACGGAUUAGUUAUAGUAAAGUAAAGUGUAUAAUUGAGUCACCACCUAAAACUACUCUUCGUCUGUUGUAGUAUGUCUUUAUCACUGUAAUGAGAAAAACCCUCUCUAUCUCUGAAUCUUUUAGAGUACUUGUACUAUUACGUCUUUUCACAGCCACUCUAAAGGUAAUAAAGAUAUCAUCCCGGGUACCCAGAGCCCUUUUGUUCGGAACGUGUCGAUCAAAAGUUACUACGGUCUUGUUUCCGUAAGUCGAAGUCCUAUACCCAAGUACAAAGGUACCCAUUACAGUCGGAACUUUUUUAGCCCUCCCUAUAUCAAAGUGUUUGAUGGCUUUCCUAACUCCCUUUAUACGUUAAUGUUAGUUAAUUCUUACGACAAGCUUGGUAUGAAUUAUUCAUAUCGACGAAUUAUCAUAAUCUGUCGAACACCCCAUUUCUACUUCUUCACUUACUCGACUUCGUCUACAACGAGUGACCAUAUGUCUGUCUUUCGUUCUAACAUCACUGGUGGGUAUCGAUAUUUCAACGACUCAACCACAGAUGACAAGGCGGAAUGUUCAACAGACGUAAUAGACUUCUACUGACAAAUUUAUAUAAAAGUGUUUCCCGUUACCGACCCGCACCACUGGGUGACAAGUCCCUUAUGCCUCUUCUUUAACAAUCUUCCACACCGCCGUGUGGGAACCAACGAUUGAAAGAACCUAGACAACACUUACGAGUUGCUGUCUCCGCACUCUAAACCUUUCGACGGUUCCUAUUUCUUUACACCUUCUAUCUCCUUCUAAUAGGACUUCUGUUUUAAAGUGGUGAUAAAGGUAGAAAGUUCUAUUAUAUAAUAUUAUACGGAGUGCUCGAUUCUAAUACGAAACAUAUGACAAGUUAGAAGGGAUUUCCUAGACAAUAUCUGUUCUUUUUUGAAUAAGUCGUUACCUAACGUGAACUGUACUAACUCAGGUCUGUACCUUGGAAUGGAGUACUACAUUGACGACUCUUCAUAUAACUGCUUGAGUUUCGUUAUAUAAAGGAAGUUCAAUAUCUUUCCGUAGUUUGACGACCUCUUUAUAAGUUACGUAGUCUCCUUUACGAGACGUACGUACUAAACCGUGUACUAGAACGAUCCAGUCAACGACCACUUCUAUAGGAACACUAAAACCUGCGCCUCUUACUUGCGGUAUUAUCUAAAACACUAAUGGCAAUGCGUGUCGACUUCGUUGACGCCAUAGAACUACGAAGGUGAAACAGGUAAUGUUGUGAGGGAGGAGUCAAAUCAUCGAAAUUAUUCGAUGUUCGCAACCUAGAAAGUCUUUGACUUGAAUACCUUAACGGUAGGAAGGAGUCGUUGAAUUUCCCGGACUUAAUAAACUUAGAGGUUCCAACGGUCUUUGAAGUCCUUAACUUUUCGGAACUAAACGACGUACUAAAUGUAAUGGAUUUGAACAGUACGACAGGACUUCAAUCUUCGAAGGGACUUAGAUAACUUUUGGAGUGGUUUGAAGCAAAGAACUUGGAGAGUACCACAAGAUUCGAAGGCUGCAAUGGAUUAUCUGAUGACGUUAGUAAACGAUCGGAAACAAGAGAACAUCUAGAAUUGAAUUCACCAAAACUCAAGGUUUACGACGGACUCAAAAAACCGUUGUAAACAAGUGAAGUUAUAGACUUAGAUAGUCUUACAAGAUUUGAACUCCUCGAGGGGGUUAGUAAACCGGUCGACCGUAUAAACUUUCGGGAUUUAGAAAGUAGAACAGGACUAGAAUUUUAAGAGCCAAGGAAACUUACGGAAUGAAGAGAAGUCAAAGACUUAGAGAGUUUGACGUGAUCAGAACUUAUAGACGGUGACACGGAAUUUUUCGAGGUUUUAGAACUGCAAAGACCGACGGUCCUACCAUAUCAUGUUAGGACAAGAUCGUCGAGACCUUCAAGGGGUUGAGUGGUUAAAAGUCUCGUUCGACUCGUCCAGUCUAAUUCAUAACAAUGGAGUCUCUAGUAAGGCCUCCGCGGACACUAACCUCUAGACUUUCCUUUCUUCUUUAACCGUAGACGAAGUCCGAACCUACAUCACGGACUUCAACAAUGAUUCGGUUUACUUUGACCUCUGUGUGGUGAAUAAGGUCCCGCGGGCAAGAGUAACAGAAGUAGAGUAAGAAGCAGGAAACGAAGUUCGAGUUCCCGUGGCAACCGUAUACAGAGUAGAAGCCUACAAAGUUUCUUGUUAUUAAACCACGGCUUACCUCUCUAUUGUCCAUGAGUUAAGUUGCUUUUUACGGUUCUCGGAGUCCUGGAGUAUUUUCUACACGACUAAUGACUUCUUUUGUAUACGAGUAACCUGUGUGGCCAAGUACACGUACUUAACCGGUGGCAUCUUCCGCUGCUACUGCCGGUGCAUUAGUUUAUAUUACCUCAUAUAGUCGUGUCGCAUGAUACACUGUCCGGUUUAGUUCCCCAACAGCAUGUCGUCAGGUUGACUAACUUACAAGAGAGUAAUUCCACAAUUACUACACUUAAACAGUACUAGCCGGGAGAGUCGAACCAACCCAGAGGCACCAAUAGCCACUACUCUAACCGGUAUUUAGUCACCAAUCCUCUCUAACAACGGAUUGAUGCAAUACGACGAGACGGACAAAACUAAUACACAUCCGUUUCGGACUACCAAGCCAGUCACACGGGCCACUCCACAAUAAAGUUCAAACCCAGCACAGAAGUGAUGAAGAUUGGGUAGCUCCAAGCGGUAGUUACUACAUAGUAGACAAUCUACCAACGGACUUUGCAUAGUAGACAACACGAAAUCUUCUUCCGACUCAAGAGGAAGUUUUGAACGAGAUAUCUAAACCGUUGAACCGCAACUAGAGAAAGGUCUUUAUGUAUAGUUUUGGUUAACCAAUUCAUCGUUUAAUUACUCAAUCGAUGAACAAUAGCUCAACUCGAUAUGUGCGAUUUAGGAAGAACAUUCAUGAUGGAAACAUGGUUUUAUAUUCUACAAAAACAUCCGAUAUAAAAUUAUGCCUCCUUCAUGUAAUAAAUCGUCAAUUAAA